rnacentral:lncRNA from 10 species
UGCCCUGAGAAAGAAAACUGAAUAAUAAUCAAGGUGCAUCUGAUAACCUAUUCCUAUAUCUUUGCAUAUAUAUAUAUAUACACACACACAUAUAUUUCCUUUUAAAUAGUAGACUUCACUUGAUCCCCAAAUGCUAUCUUCUCUACAUACAACUUAACAUGAAAGUCUGUGAUUUGAUUUUCAUUUACAAUUUUCCCAUAACUCAUAUUAAAUACAUUUAGUUUUUAAAACGUUUAGUCUCUGCUUAGCUCUGUGCUAAGCAUUGGUGGUUACAGAAAUUAAUUAGAUGUGACUUUGCUAUUCAAUAAUUUAUAAUCUAGUUGGGGGAGAGGAUGGCUGCAUUCAUAGUGCAGGAUAGAUUAAUGAGGCAAGAGAGCAAGCGGGAAACAUUGAGACUAAUAUCAUCCUGAUAUCGAUAAAAGCAAAUCACAUCCCUGGUAUUGGGGUUUGGGCUUCUCAUCUGGGUCUGGAAGCAGAAAUCCAGUCCAGAUGCGAUGCUGCCAUGACAUCAGCCACACCAUUCGUGUAGGAUUUCAAUGCUCCAUUGGGCCAUCCCUAGAUCAGUGCCAAGAUAGGGAAUGUAUAAAAACAGAAGGUGACAGGGGCAGAUUACAAACCAGUUCGUCAAGAAGCACCUCCUCCUGUCUGUAAUACAAAGUCUGGAUACUCAGUAAACAACCUUUACAUUUUUCCAAAUUAAUAGACAAAACCAGAUUAUUGAAUAAAAGGCACACCAAUAGUGUCCAUAAGCAUGCCCAUGCUUAGACUUGGCCAAGGGGACCAGCCUGUGGCUUCUGUUUAUUGAUCACACAGGGCAGGGCUGUGUAAUUUCUAUUAUUUUAUUUUUAUUUUCAAAUGUGACCUCCUACAUUGUAGAAGGCAAAGAGAGGCAGGGUCUUUUGUCAUGGUCUCUUUAUCUGAAAAAGAAACAAUGUAUAGCUUGAUGCCACUGUGAAUCCUAAUGCGUAUUCUGGUGACAAUAUCUGUAUACAAUAAUUACAAUCUCCUGCACUCUUGCAAAUUGUCGGUAAAACAGCCACUAUAGUAAUUACAAAGUCAUUAGUGCCAAUACAA